UUUAAUUAAAUUUUUGUUAAAUUAAAUUAAGUAUUAAAUGUUAAGUCAUUAAAUUAAAAAAAUUUGGCGGUAUUUUAUAUAAUUAGAGGAAUUUGUUAUGUAAUUGAUAAUACACGAUAAAAUUUACUUUAUAAAUUAAUCUUAUGUAUUGCUGUUUAUAAAAAUUUAUUAAAUAAAUUUUUAGGUAUUAAUUUAAAUUAUAAUUCAAGUCAAAGUGUAGGUUUUUAAAGAAUUAAAUGAAUUACAAUUUUAUAAAUAUUUAAUUAUUAAAUUUAAUUUUUAAUAUGAAAUUGGAUUUAAAAGUAAAUUUAAUUAAUUAAUUAAUUUGAAUAUUUUUUAAAAUAUGU
rnacentral:rRNA from 1 species